UACGAAGGUCCCAAGCGUUAUCCGGAUUUAUUGGGUUUAAAGGGUGCGUAGGUGGAGUGGUAAGUCAGUGGUGAAAUCUCCAAGCUUAACUUGGAAACUGCCGUUGAUACUAUCAUUCUUGAAUAUCGUGGAGGUAAGCGGAAUAUGUCAUGUAGCGGUGAAAUGCUUAGAUAUGACAUAGAACACCGAUUGCGAAGGCAGCUUGCUACACGAUCAUUGACACUGAGGCACGAAAGCGUGGGGAUCAAACAGG
rnacentral:rRNA from 1 species